UCUUAACGCACUGGACUAGCAGAGAGAGAAGACAAGCAGAGGAAUCCUUUAUCACAUUUUUUUUCACGCUUGUAAGUGGACAAAACUGCAAAGGAAAGACAGAUUCAUAAUUCACCAUGAUCAUCAGGUUGCUUCUCCUGGUGUUACUACCAGUAGUAUUGAACGCCCAAUCUGGGGGAAAACUCCAAAUCAACCUACACCUGCUAACCCUACUCCAACUAAACAUGCUCCAAAUAGACG